GACGAACGCUGGCGGCGUGCCUAAUACAUGCAAGUCGAGCGAAUGGAUGGGAGCUUGCUCCCUGAAGUUAGCGGCGGACGGGUGAGUAACACGUGGGCAACCUGCCUGUAAGACUGGGAUAACUUCGGGAAACCGGAGCUAAUACCGGAUACAUUCUUUCUUCGCCUGAAGAAAGAUGGAAAGAUGGUUUCGGCUAUCACUUACAGAUGGGCCCGCGGCGCAUUAGCUAGUUGGUGAGGUAACGGCUCACCAGGGCAACGAUGCGUAGCCGACCUGAGAGGGUGAUCGGCCACACUGGGACUGAGACACGGCCCAGACUCCUACGGGAGGCAGCAGUAGGGAAUCUUCCGCAAUGGGCGAAAGUCUGACGGAGCAACGCCGCGUGAGCGAAGAAGGCCUUCGGGUCGUAAAGCUCUGUUGUUAGGGAAGAACAAGUACCAGAGUAACUGCUGGUACCUUGACGGUACCUAACCAGAAAGCCACGGCUAACUACGUGCCAGCAGCCGCGGUAACAC
rnacentral:rRNA from 1 species